rnacentral:rRNA from 1 species
UACGGAGGGCACAAGCGUUGUUCGGAAUUAUUGGGCGUAAAGCGGGUGUAGGCGGCUUUACAAGUCGGGUGUGAAAUCCCUGGGCCUAACCCAGGAACUGCACUCGAUACUGUAUCGCUAGAGUCCCGGAGAGGAUGGCGGAAUUCCAGGUGUAGAGGUGAAAUUCGUAGAUAUCUGGAGGAACACCAGUGGCGAAGGCGGCCAUCUGGACGGUGACUGACGCUCAGACCCGAAAGCGUGGGGAGCAAAC